rnacentral:rRNA from 1 species
AUUGAACGCUGGCGGCAUGCCUUACACAUGCAAGUCGAACGGCAGCACGGGUGCUUGCACCUGGUGGCGAGUGGCGAACGGGUGAGUAAUACAUCGGAACAUGUCCUGUAGUGGGGGAUAGCCCGGCGAAAGCCGGAUUAAUACCGCAUACGAUCCACGGAUGAAAGCGGGGGACCUUCGGGCCUCGCGCUAUAGGGUUGGCCGAUGGCUGAUUAGCUAGUUGGUGGGGUAAAGGCCUACCAAGGCGACGAUCAGUAGCUGGUCUGAGAGGACGAUCAGCCACACUGGGACUGAGACACGGCCCAGACUCCUACGGGAGGCAGCAGUGGGGAAUUUUGGACAAUGGGCGAAAGCCUGAUCCAGCAAUGCCGCGUGUGUGAAGAAGGCCUUCGGGUUGUAAAGCACUUUUGUCCGGAAAGAAAUCCUUGACUCUAAUACAGUCGGGGGAUGACGGUACCGGAAGAAUAAGCACCGGCUAACCACGUG